ensembl:lncRNA AFG3L1P AFG3 like matrix AAA peptidase subunit 1, pseudogene
GCCCUGACCUGGUCCGCGCAGUGAGGCCGACAGCACCUGGCCAGAGCUUCCCGCCCCCCCGCCUCCUCCGUCUCCAAACUCCUGCUCUUCUCCUCGCUACCUCUUCCACCCACUUCUUGCGGAAUUCCCGCUGUUUACUGGAUGCCCGGUCCCCUCGGACAUCGGAACCGGGACCUCCAGCCUCCUUGCUCGGCUUUGUAAAGCGCCGGGCGUUGAGCGAUUUGCGCUUGAGUCCCACCUCCUCGCGAACCAGCUUUGUGGCCCCGCGUGCCAGCCCGUGUCCUCCUGGGCUCGGCGGCGUUCGGCUUUAUCCACCUCGCAGUUACUCAGUGAACCAGACACGAUAAGAGGCGUGAAAGGGUUUUGCAAACUGUUCUUUAUACAGCGACCAGUCACUGUCGUUAACAGCUAAUGCUGAGAGCUAAGGGCUUUACGCGGAUUAUCUAAGUCUUAUACCCGCCCUAUAGGCGAUAAGCUCACACCUCACCCUGCUUGCUCCAGUGGUUAUGGCCAGUGAGAAUGUGCGGUGUUGCAUUGCAGAAGAAGCUAGGAAAGCUCAUCUGGCCUCCUGUUCCAGUGCUUCCAGGGGAUCCACGUUCAGAAGCUGACUCUGCAGGCAAGACCGACGUUAUUUUCCUGGUGGCUGUGUUCAAAACCACCCAAAGGGUUUGAGAAAUACUUUAAGAGGAGUGGAAGGAACACAAACUGAGAAACAUCAACAGCACCAAAAAAAGAGACUGGUGAACUAGAGAAUGCUGAGUCUGGAGGAGACGGAGGCAGGAGAGGAGGGAAGCAGGAUAACGUUGCCUGGUGGAGGCGGAUGCAGAAGGGGGGACUUCCCCUGGGAUGACGAGGAUUUCCGCAGUCUGGCCCUUUUGGGGGCAGGCGUUGCCAUGGGAUUUUUCUACCUCUAUUUUCGAGAUCCUGGAAGAGAAAUCACGUGGAAGCACUUUGUACAGUAUUACCUGGCCAGAGGUCUGGUGGACCGGCUGGAAGUCGUGAACAAACAAUCUGUGCGUGUUAUUCCUGCCCCUGGGACCUCUUCUGAAACGUAGCUGGGUGCGAAGAAUCAAAUUGGAAAUUAUGGAAUUUGUGAAUUUCCUGAAGAAUCCCAAGCAGUAUCAGGACUUAGGAGCAAAAAUUCCAAAGGGAGCCAUGCUCACUGGUCCUCCUGGUACCGGCAAGACCCUUCUUGCCAAAGCAACUGCAGGGGAGGCCACUGUGCCCUUCAUCACUGUGAACGGGUCUGAGUUCCUGGAAAUGUUUAUUGGCGUUGGGCCAGCAAGGGGUUCAACUCUGCCACCAACGUCGUGGUGUUGGCUGGCACCAACCGCCCUGACGUCCUGGACCCGGCCCUCAUGCGGCCUGGCCGGUUUCAUCGCCAGAUUUACACUGGUCCCCCUUACAUUAAAGGCAGGUCCUCCAUCUUUAAGGUCCACCUGCGCCCACUGAAGCUGGACAAGAGCCUCAAUAAGGACACCCUGGCGAGGAAGCUGGCAGUGCUCACCCCAGGCUUCCCUGAUGUCUGUUUACAUACCAAAGUUAAAAAGCUGGAAUGUUACCAAGACUGCUUUCUUCUGCCCAUAGACGGGGAUGACUCAGCACUACCCCUCAACAGAGAUGACUUUGAUGACUCUGCCCCUCAGCAGGGCUUACUAAGCACUACCCCUUAACAGGGAUGACUCCGCACUGCCCCUCAACAGGGAUGACUCAGCAGAGAUGACUCAGCACUGUCCCUUAGCAGGGAUGACACAGCAAGGAUGACUCAGCACUGCCCCUCAGCAAGGAUGACUCAGCACUGCCGCUCAACAGACAUGACUCAGGGAUGGCUUAGUACUGCCCCUCAGCAGGGAUGACUCAGCACCGCCUCUCAACAGGGAUGACUCAGCAGGGAUGACUCAGCACCGCCCCUCAACAGGCAUGACUCUGCAGAGAUGACUCAGCACUGUCCCUUAGCAGGGAUGACACAGCAAGGAUGACUCAGCACUGCCCCUCAGCAAGGAUGACUCAGCACUGCCGCUCAACAGGGAUGACUCAGGGAUGGCUUAGUACUGCCCCUCAACAGGGAUGACUCAGCAGGGAUGACUCAGCACCGCCCCUCAACAGGCAUGACUCUGCAGAGAUGACUUAGUACUGCCCCUCAGCAGGGAUGACUCAGUACUGCCCCUCAGCAGGGAUGACUCAGCACUGCCCCUCAACAGGGAUGACUCAGCAGGGAUGACUCAGCACUGUCCCUUAGCAGUGAUGACACAGCAAGGAUGACUCAGCACUGCCCCUCAGCAAGGAUGACUCAGCACUGCCGCUCAACAGACAUGACUCAGGGAUGGCUUAGUACUGCCCCUCAGCAGGGAUGACUCAGCACCGCCCCUCAACAGGGAUGACUCAGCACUGCCCCUCAACAGGGAUGACUCAGCAGGGAUGACUCAGCAGUGUCCCUUAGCAGCGAUGACACAGCAAGGAUGACUCAGCACUGCCCCUCACCAAGGAUGACUCAGCACUGCCGCUCAACAGACAUGACUCAGGGAUGGCUUAGUACUGCCCCUCAGCAGGGAUGACUCAGCAGGGAUGACUCAGCACCACCCCUCAACAGGGAUGACUCAGCAGGGAUGACUCAGCACUGCCCCUCAACAGGGAUGACUGCAGGGAUGACUCAGCACUGCCCCUCAGCAGGGAUGACUCAGCACUGCCCCUCAGCAGGGAUGACUCAGCAGGGAUGACUCAGCACCGCCCCUCAACAGGCAUGACUCUGCAGAGAUGACUCAGCACUGCCCCUCAGCAGGGAUGGCUCAGCAGGGAUGACUCAGCAUUGCCCCUCAACAGGGAUGACUCAGCAGACUCAGCAGGGAUGACUCAGCACUGCCCCUCAACAGACAUGACUCAGCAGGGAUGACUCAGCACCGCCCCUCAGCAAGGAUGACUCAGCAGGGAUGAUUCAGCAGAGAUAACUCGGGGAUGACUCUGAUUGUCCUUCAGCAGGGAUGAGUCUGUUUUGCUCCGAUGGAAGCAUCUGUAGUGUCCAUCAGCAGGUGAAUGGCCAAAGUGGUAUAUACUGUAGUCACAUUCAGCUAUAAAAAGGAAUAAAGUAUCGAUGCAUGCCACAACAUGGGUGAACCUAGAAAAUACUGAUCUAAAUGCAAGAAGCCAGGCACAAAAGGCCACAUAGUAUAUGUUCCCAUUUAUGUGAAAUGUGCAGAAUAAUAAUAAAAAUGUAUAGAAUAGCAAAUCUGUAGGGACAGACAUGAGGUGAGUGGUUGCCAGAAGUGGAAAUGGGAGUUAACUAUAAAUUGCACAGGGUACCUUACAGAGAUGAUGGAAAUGUCCUAAAACUAGAUUAUGGCAAUAGUUGCACUACGUGAUCAGUUUAUUAAAAAUCGUUGAUGUGUGUGUGUAAAAUGGGUGGAUUUUAUGGUUUAUAAAUUAUACCUUAAUAAAGGUUAACAAAAAAUGUGGCU